AAAGGUGCUAUAUAAAUAAAAAUUUAUUUAUUUAUUUAUUUAAAAGAUUCAUAUGUUGCAUCCAUAGCAAAGCUCAACUUUUACUUGUGAGUACCAAUUCCACUGAAAGGACCCCAUCAUUUUCGUCAUGCAUUUAGUGUCCCACUGUGAGAAAUUGAUCUUUUUUAUAUGAUCUGGAAACUAUUUAGUCCAGUCCCUAAAAGUCAUGUCAAACCUUUUAAAAUUGUUUUGCUGGUGUUGCAUGUUGAUGACUGGUUCAAAAACUCAAUAGUUUUUGUCUUUGACCACUUUCUUCUGUGCUACUGAAAAUUUUGAGUUCACAUAUCUCUUUUUUCUUUGUUAUAACUCUUAAGGAUGAGAUUGAUGCUCGAAGGGAGUCCCUCAUCAAAGGACUGCAAGUUUAUCUGAAUGAAAAUCCUGACAUCUUGGUGCAGGAGCACAUGGACAUGACCGAGGCCACUGCACUGAGUGGCAUAGAGAAAACAACGGUGGGCAUUUAUGUCUCCAGAGACGUGCCAGGCAAUGACUUUCCUGAUGUUGGGAUCAUCAUCGAGGGUGUGGUGGUUCUUCAGGAUUUGGAUAGUGUGGCCCUUGGAGUUGCCAUGUUUUUUUUACUGUUUUACUCCUUGAACAUUUGUACCCAUCACAGCUCUGCUACACUUUUGAGGUGAUUCAGAAGGUGGUAAUGGAAUUGGAUGCAACUCAACUCUCAAGAAAAGCCCAAAAUUUAAAGACAAAACUGUUCAUGUAAGGAAAGUUCACUGUAGCUCUGCAUGUGAGAUGGUUUGCUCUCUCACUUGUUCUCCUGCAUGCUGGAGGUUCAAUAUCAACGACAAAUCAGUGUUCACUGUUGUGUACAUUGUAAAUGCCAUGUGGACAGGACCUGGCUUGUUUUUGUUUUUUCCUUUUUGCUCUCUGUUCAAGUUUUCUAAUUGGCAGCAUUUUUAGAUUUUGGUUUAUUUGUUUUUAAAAGUGAAGAAAUGUAGGGUGUUCAGCCUAAAUAGUCCCAUCAUGGCUGUGUGAAACAGCAUUUUAGGUUUAAUUCAGCUGUUGUAAGAUUACUUUGAUGGUUUUAUGUUUUAAACCAAGAUGUUGUAGUAUGAUCAGUGCUGGAAUUUUUGAAACUAUUUUUGGAAUUUGUGAAUUUUUGAGUCACUGUAUCACUGUUAUUUCUGUGGCUCUUCAAUAAAGGUUUUUGACAUGCAA